rnacentral:tRNA from 1 species
GCCGAAGUGGUGAAAUGGCAGACACACAGCCUUGAGGUGGCUGCGGGAGAAAUCCUGUGGGGGUUCGAGUCCCUCCUUCGGCACCA